UGUCAUGCAGCGACAUGCAGUAGAUGUCAGGGGGAUGAGCAGAUGCAUGGAGUCACCAUGAGAGUGACAAAGUCCAAGGGACUCUCAAGAGAAGGAAGGAAGUGGAGGAACCAUUCUUAUUUGGGCAAACCAAGAAGGGCAUCAUGGAGGAAGAGGCUGCCACAGGGCAUUCUGUAUUUUCUGCCUAAGUCGUGGAUGUAACAGCAAAGAAAAAUAAAAGAGUUAAGUUUGUG
rnacentral:lncRNA from 1 species